CAAAGCAAAGCUGAAAUAUAGAAUAGCGCCUCACUUACGUUGAGGAGUUUUAUUGUGCAAUCCAAUAUGCUUUGA
rnacentral:tRNA from 1 species